GUCAAAUAGAAUAAAAAUCAAACGUAGGGCAAAUUGAGUUUUAGUGAAGAACUCGCCUUCGUGGGUCCCACUUCGCGAACAUCAUUUAGGUUGAGCCUUGAGCAAAGCAAAACCAUCUCUUGUUUUUCCUCUUCGGCGCAUGUGCGCGAUUGAGUGAGUUACUGAUUCACAUAAAGGAGCAGUUUUGAGUAGUUGAAGUUGAAUAUUCAAAUCCAAAGCAUCACCUCCCCGAUUAAACCCUCAUCCUCCAUGUCUCUCUGCACCUCGCAAUGACAGCUUUACUCAUGGCGGUCUCCGCCUUCUACAUCCACGCCGCAAGACCAGGUCUUCACCGCGCUGUUGAAAUCCUCCUCUCACGGACUGCAUCAACUGCAAAUGAAACCAGCUGGCCAGGGAGGCAAGUAGCUAGGUAACUCGGGAGCUUGGCUGGUGAGUUACGGCAGCAUUAAGGUAGCUUUGGUUGCUAGCCAGUUGAGAGGUUGUCCGGGUUAAUCUAAUUGGAUAAGACUGCGUACAAGGAUUUCCUCCACCCCACACUUGCUGGUUGGGUUUAACAGGGAGUGGUUUUUAUUGUGUUGAAAACAUAUGCAUUGGGUACACUAUUUAUAACGCCCAACUUAAUUCAGUCCUAAGCCUUGGGGAAAGGGUGUAAAUUUUGAAAACUUAUGGGCAGAUUCACAUUUUCAGGGAAUUAGAGGGGCUGAAGUGUAAAUUUAAGAAAUGCUAAGUGACAAAUGUUUUGGUGAGUUAAGGUGCAUCUUAAUCAGUUGCACCCGAAAGAUUUCAGCCAUGUGAUUAACAUCCUAUGACUGCAUGUGUAGGAACUAUUUUAGUAAGUAUAGAAUGGGCUGCCUGGGAUUAACUUUUGCAUUACCUACCUUCUGAUGCAAAUUCAGAAGUCGCACCGAAUCCGUAGUCUAAAUAGUCCCCUUUUUGCCUGCCCAUCGCCCAACUCCUCAUCUUAACAAAUCUCAAAGAGCUUCUUUCAUCUACACCAAAUUUCAACCGAAAAGCUCCCAAUUACCCUAGAAAUUUCAGAAUCGUUGAGAGGGAUGAAUCGCGUCUCUUUUUUUUUUUUCAAUUUGGUUGCGAAGUAAAUAGUUGUUGCUGGCUUCUCUCUCUUUGAAGCUUCGGUCACCGUAAAAUUAUAGCCAAGGAAUAUAGGAAAUGAAAGAGAACAAACUUGAAGGGGCUGAACCAAGGAAGGAAAAGAACUAAAGCUCCAUUUUACCAAGAGAAGCUUAGAAUCAUCAUUUGGAUUGAUUUGAGCAAGGAACUUCUGUUCCUGUUUGAGUGAAGAGGGGGCUGUCAAGGGAGAGUGUAGAAAAUAAAAGACUGAAGUGUGUGAUCAAAAGGAGACAAAAGGCACUAAUAAUGCAAAGGACAAGGCCAUUGAAGGCUCAAAGUGAUGGAAAUGUUGUUUAUAAUUGCUGUGAACUUAUGAUGUAUUGUAGUUGCUUUAGAACAGUUUUGUUUGUAACAUGUACCUUCAGCCCAACUUUGUAAUUAUUUUGAAGACUUGAUGUAAUAGAGAUUAAAUCUAUGAUUAGUUGAAAAAAUGUAAUGGGCUGUCAAAGGGAUCGAUGGGUAUGUUUUGGAGUUGAUAUAGUGAGUUUUGUAUGGAAAUGAGAUACAUAUGUUGUACUUCAAAGUCUUGAGUACCCAAAGGCAUCUUGAUAGGCUGA